GUUGUAUAGUUAAGUGACUAAGCGUACAAGGUGGAUGCCUUGGCAAUCAGAGGCGAAGAAGGACGUGCUAAUCUGCGAAAAGCUUGGAUGAGUCGAUAAGAGGCGUUUAAUCCAAGAUAUCCGAAUGGGGAAACCCAGUAGAUGAAGAAUCUACUAUCAACAAGUGAAUUCAUAGCUUGUUGAGGCAAACCGGGAGAACUGAAACAUCUAAGUACCCCGAGGAAAAGAAAUCAACCGAGAUUUCGUCAGUAGCGGCGAGCGAAAGCGAAAGAGCCAGUAAGUGAUAGCAGUAUAGUGAGGAGAAUGUGUUGGGAA
rnacentral:rRNA from 1 species